rnacentral:tRNA from 1 species
GCUGUGCUGCUCAGUGGGUAGAGCGUGAGACUCUAAAUCUCAGGGUUGUGAGUUCGAGCCCCACAUUGGGCA